CCUACGGGAGGCAGCAGUGGGGAAUUUUGGACAAUGGGCGAAAGCCUGAUCCAGCAAUGCCGCGUGAGUGAAGAAGGCCUUCGGGUUGUAAAGCUCUUUUGUCAGGGAAGAAACGGUGAAAGCUAAUAUCUUUUGCUAAUGACGGUACCUGAAGAAUAAGCACCGGCUAACUACGUGCCAGCAGCCGCGGUAAUACGUAGGGUGCAAGCGUUAAUCGGAAUUACUGGGCGUAAAGCGUGCGCAGGCGGUUUUGUAAGUCUGAUGUGAAAUCCCCGGGCUCAACCUGGGAAUUGCAUUGGAGACUGCAAGGCUAGAAUCUGGCAGAGGGGGGUAGAAUUCCACGUGUAGCAGUGAAAUGCGUAGAUAUGUGGAGGAACACCGAUGGCGAAGGCAGCCCCCUGGGUCAAGAUUGACGCUCAUGCACGAAAGCGUGGGGAGCAAACAGGAUUAGAUACCCUGGUAGUCCACGCCCUAAACGAUGUCUACUAGUUGUCGGGUCUUAAUUGACUUGGUAACGCAGCUAACGCGUGAAGUAGACCGCCUGGGGAUACGGUCGCAAGAUUAAAACNCAAAGAUUGACGG
rnacentral:rRNA from 1 species